GCAGAGAGAAGCUGGAGGAGUGGAAGGCAGCGGAGGAGGAGCGGUGGCUGGAGAAGGUUGUGGAGGAGUUUCUGAAGAAGCAGAUGAAGAAAGGUAAGAAGGUUGCUGGCGAUGGAGAAGCUCACAAGUAUGUAGCCAAGUAUAGGGAAGAGUCUGAGCGCUGUGUCACCGAGGUUGCAGAGUCUGUGAAGGAGGCUUUGAAGUCUCUCAAUGGUAAGAGAAAGGGUUCUGAAGCUGCACUGGAGAAAGCUGAUUCCAAGAAGUUGAAGAUAUGGUUGGAGCAAUGAGCAUCUCAGUAUUGCGAAGUGUGUGGCAAAUGUUCUGGCUAUGCGAGAACUGGGAUGGCGAAGUUAGUGUCUGCAAUCAACUUGCUAAUAGCCUUAUGCAAUUGGAAGACAGGUUUGAUGAUUUCAUUCAAAAGUUGAAAGAAGCUGGAUGCAACUUGCUCUUAGUGUGAUUGAAGCACCCACUGGCAAUGAGGAAGAUAAUGACCUUGAAUUUGAAAACUUGUCCUGGAAUGGAUCAGAUAUGGCUUCUAUGGGUUAAAGAAAACUUGCAAGAGUCUUGGUCUUUGGUUAAGAAUCACCUUCUUCCUCCUACUCCAUAUUAAUCAACCACACGAGAAUACUCCUUUUUCAGCAAUAUAAUCAUGAUUCAUGAGUGCAUAAAAAAAUGAUCAUUUCUGUAAUUGUAGUAAGUUGUAGAUAAGCUCGAAUAACCUACAAUAUUAAAGUAAUAAUUAAAGUGUGUUCAGCACUGCUGAAACAAUGUAAAAUCAUCUAGCUAGCCCAUAUAUCCGUAUGGAUCAUUAGAUCUUAUCUUAUGUUUAGGCUGUUCUUAUCUUAAUUCUGCCUAAUUGAAAGGAAAAAAACAGUUGAGGAGGGAAAAAUUUAAAGCAUAAUCAUGUAUAAUUGAGUGGUUAGGUUCUGUUAUUGUCAAAAGAUUCUUUCCAUUUAUAUGUUGAAUAUUUUAAGACCAAUGAAAAUGUUGAGGCUUGACCUACACACAUGUUUUUGGUCUCUAAAUGCAAGUUCCAGGUUCUAUCUACUCCAAUUUU